GAUGAACGCUAGCGGCAGGCCUAACACAUGCAAGUCGAGGGGCAGCACAGAAACAGCAAUGUUUUGGUGGCGACCGGCGGACGGGUGCGUAACGCGUAUGCAACCUACCUUUAACAGGGGGAUAACGGAGAGAAAUUUCCACUAAUACCCCAUAACAUCGAUCAAGGCAUCUUGAUUGGUUGAAAACUCCGGUGGUUAAAGAUGGGCAUGCGUUGUAUUAGGUAGUUGGUGAGGUAAUGGCUCACCAAGCCUACGAUACAUAGGGGGACUGGGAGGUUAGCCCCCCACACAGGUACUGAGACACGGACCAGACUCCUACGGGAGGCACCAGUGAGAAAUAUUGGUCAAUGGGGGCAACCCUGAACCAGCCACGCCGCGUGCAGGAAGACGGCUCUAUGAGUUGUAAACUGCUUUUAAACAGGGAUAAAGCACAGUAUGUAUACUGUGUUGAAGGUACUGUAAGAAUAAGGAUCGGCUAACUCCGUGCCAGCCGCCGCCGUAA
rnacentral:rRNA from 1 species